ensembl:snRNA U6 U6 spliceosomal RNA
GUGCUCGCUUUGGCAGCACAUAUGCUAAAACUGGAACAAUACAGAGAAAAUAAGCAUGGCCCCUUUGCAAGGGUGACACACAAAUUUGUGAUGCAUUCCAUGUUUAA